rnacentral:lncRNA from 1 species
AUUGGGAACCAGACAGACCAAAAUAGAAUAUUCUGAAUAUGAAACUUAGUGAUCUUGUUACUUUAUUUUCCAAAAUAUUCAAAUUUACUUCCCAUAUUUCACUUUGCUUAUACUGUAAAUUCAUUUUAUAAUUUCACCACUUUAUUUUUCACUUUUAGUAUUUGGGUUCAUUUACCUUAGUAUAUUCACCUUUAAAACAUUGUUGCAUAAAGUCGAGUUUGGAAAGGGUCUGUGCAGUCUAUAUGCCUGGGUAGAAUCUUUUUUGAUGUUGCAGGGUAAUUGGAGUCUUCCUGUGAGAACUCUGGCAAUAGCUUUUCAUUGUAGAGAAAACAAUGUCUUUGAGUGUAGUCAGCUGUCUGUCUGUUGCUUAGUGGGAAGAAAGAAGAUGUUAGGAAAGAUAGCAAAAAGUUAACCUCAAACCUGCUGUUAUGGACUUGACAGCUGAACAGAUGUUUUUUCUCUGUGGGAGAUUGUUAACCUGUUACCAGCAACUCUGAUCCUUCUUGAACCUGCUACAAUAUUAAUGGAGGACAACAGACAGGGCAGGCAAGUAUGUCCCAGGCCAAGUCCUAGGAGUUCUGUGUGGAAUGCUGACCUGCAGGAUCUUAUGCUGUCCACUUGCCUGUUAUUCCCUGCUAGAAAUCCCUUACUACAAAAGGAAUACCAACAGAAGUUACCAUUUGCUUUGCUACUGCAUCAUGAGGUACUACAGGUUCAGCAAUCAAUUUUGGUUGAGGUCCUGAUCAUUCCAGUGAAUUUAGUGAACUACAUGAUAUGAAAUUGUUUUGAUUUUCUAGGAUUCUCUAAAUAUACUAUCACAUGAUGGAAUACCAUUUUGCUAUAAGGAAUGAUGAACAAGAUGAUAUCGCAUGUACUAGAAAGACCAAUGUGAACUGAUACAGAGUGAAAUAAGCAGAAUCAGGAGAAUAUUAUACACUGUAACUGGAAUAUGGUGGAAUGAUCUAAUAUGAUACACUUUGCUACUAACAGUAAUGCAGUGAUCCAGGACAAUUCUGAGGGUCUUAUGAAAAAGAAUGCUAUCUACCUCUAGAGAAAGAACAGUUAGAAUAGAAAUGCAGAUAAAAAUAUAUGACUUUUUAUUUCUCUAUUUGGGUAUGUGAUUUGGGGUUUUGGUUUUAUAAGAUUAUUCUCUCAUGAAAACAUGGAAAAUAUAUUUUCUAAGUGAUAAAACAUGUAUAAUUGUUUGUCAACUCCAGAAGAGGGGAGGGAAACAUCAUGAAUCAUAUGACAUUGGA